rnacentral:rRNA from 1 species
UAUUGGACAAUGGGCGCAAGCCUGAUCCAGCCAUGCCGCGUGAGUGAUGAAGGUCUUAGGAUUGUAAAGCUCUUUCACCGGGGACGAUAAUGACGGUACCCGGAGAAGAAGCCCCGGCUAACUUCGUGCCAGCAGCCGCGGUAAUACGAAGGGGGCUAGCGUUGUUCGGAAUUACUGGGCGUAAAGCGCACGUAGGCGGAUAUUUAAGUCAGGGGUGAAAUCCCGGGGCUCAACCCCGGAACGGCCUUUGAUACUGGGUAUCUUGAGUGUGGUAGAGGUGAGUGGAAUUGCGAGUGUAGAGGUGAAAUUCGUAGAUAUUCGCAGGAACACCAGUGGUGAAGGCGGCUCACUGGACCACAACUGACGCUGAGGUGCGAAAGCGUGGGGAGCAAACAG